rnacentral:rRNA from 1 species
UGGCGGACGGGUGAGUAACGCGUGGGUAACCUGCCCUGUACAGGGGGAUAACAGUCAGAAAUGACUGCUAAUACCGCAUAAGACCACAGCACCGCAUGGUACAGGGGUAAAAACUCCGGUGGUACAGGAUGGACCCGCGUCUGAUUAGCUGGUUGGUGAGGUAACGGCUCACCAAGGCGACGAUCAAUAGCCGGCUUGAGAGAGUGAACGGCCACAUUGGGACUGAGACACGGCCCAAACUCCUACGGGAGGCAGCAUG